rnacentral:rRNA from 1 species
UACGGAGGGUGCGAGCGUUAUCCGGAAUUACUGGGUUUAAAGGGUGCGUAGGCGGCCAUGUAAGUCAGGAGUGAAAGUUUGCGGCUCAACCGUAAAAUUGCUUUUGAUACUGCAUGGCUGGAAUCAGGAUGAGGUCAGCGGAAUGUGGCAUGUAGCGGUGAAAUGCAUAGAUAUGCCAUAGAACACCAAUUGCGAAGGCAGCUGGCUAGACCUGUAUUGACGCUGAGGCACGAAAGCGUGGGGAGCGAACGGG